GGGCGUAAAGAGCACGUAGGCGGUUUGGUAAGUCUGAUGUGAAAGCCCUCGACUUAAUCGAGGAAGUGCAUUGGAUACUGCCAGACUAGAGUAUCGGAGGGGAGAACGGAAUUCCUGGUGUAGAGGUGAAAUUCGUAGAUAUCAGGAGGAACAACGGUGGCGGAGGCGGUUCUCUGGACGAUAACUGACGCUGAGGUGCGAAAGCGUGGGGAGCGAACAGGAUUAGAUACCCUGGUAGUCCACGCCGUAAACGAUGGUCACUAGCUGUUUGAUGUACAUUGGUACAUUGAGUGGCUAAGCGAAAGUGAUAAGUAUCCCACCUGGGGAGUACGUUCGCAAGAAUGAAACUCAAAGGAAUUGACGGGGGCCCGCACAAGCGGUGGAGCAUGUGGUUUAAUUCGAUGAUACGCGAGGAACCUUACCAGGGCUUAAAUGCAGAAUGACAGGUUUAGAGAUAGACUUUUCUUCGGACAUUUUGCAAGGUGCUGCAUGGUU
rnacentral:rRNA from 1 species